rnacentral:rRNA from 1 species
CAAUAGCGUAUAUUUAAGUUGUUGCAGUUAAAAAGCUCGUAGUUGGAUUUCGGGUGGGACGCAGCGGUCUCGCAUUGCGUUUGUACUGCUGCAGCCCUCCUUCUUGCCGGGGGCGGCCUCUCGGACUUCACUGUCUGGGGGUCAGAAUCGGCGAUGUUACUUUGAGUAAAUUAGAGUGUUCAAAGCAAGCUUACGCUCUGAAUAUAAUAGCAUGGGAUAACACGACAGGACUCUGGCCUAUCGUGUUGGUCUAUAGGACCAGAGUAAUGAUUAAGAGGGACAGUCGGGGGCAUUCGUAUUCCGUUGUCAGAGGUGAAAUUCUUGGAUUUACUGAAGACGAACAUCUGCGAAAGCAUUUGCCAAGGAUGUUUUCAUUGA